AUGCCCAGGGUGUAUUUCACGGAGCAGGAGGAAAGAACAGAGCCAGCGCCGGGCUUCAGCUUCCCAUCCCGCCUGGGGACCGAGCCGCCAGCCGCAGACGUGACCCCCAGCCUGGCCAUCGCCUUCCUCCUGCUGCUCCCCGCGGGUGUCUAUUCCCAGGUCAGCCUGGUGGAGUCCGGUGGGGGAGUCAAGAAGCCCGGGGAGACCCUCAGACUGACCUGCACCGUGUCCGGAUUCUCUCUCACCAGCUACGGGGCGCACUGGGCCCGCCAGCCAGCGGGGAAAGGGUUGGACUGGAUGGGAGGUAUCUGGGCUGAUGGGGGCACUGCUUAUAGCAAUGCUCUCAAAAGUCGACUCCCCAUCACCAGAGACACCUCCAAAGGCCAAGUGUCCCUCCAACUGACCGGCCUGCAGCCCGGAGACACCUCCGUGUAUUACUGUGCACUGCACCGGCCGGCCUCUAAGCUGCAAAUUCCCACCAUCAACCCGAACCCCGAGAAGCCAGGCAAUGAGGAGUCACGGGUGAAGAAUCCCCCCAGGCUUUUCUACCCCCCCCCCCCGACAUUCUCCGCUGUCAGUGACACUCUGCGCUCACCCCGGAGACAUUCUGCCCUCAGCACAUUCACCGCCCUGGCGCUGCGCAUCCAGCUCUGA